AUCUCGACAUGACGACUAGAGGUACUUAAGAAAAGAUGCUUCUGUUUGCUUGCUGUGCCCAGUUGGAACACAAGCAGAGAGUGGCACGCGUCUAGUGCAUGGCCACAAUCACAAUGCCUGGAGUCCUUACUCCUUGUCCAAUUACUUUCUUAACCUCCUGAAAAUAAAAUCGGGAAGGAAGCAAGUCACUUCUAAAAACACACGAGAGGAUUUAUGGUCAAUAUGCGGGAGAUAAAAAUCAAAGGAGCCACUGCUGCACCUCUGCUUCUCCAUCAGUUUAAAAAGAGUGCAUACAAACAACAGAUCCGCCUGUGCAGAGGGGUUAGCCCGUCAAAAGGAGAUCAAAAGCACUUCUCUUUUUCAGAUUCGCUUGACUGCUUGGUUACUCCAAAGAGGAGAUGCCCCAUUCUCUCUGGAUCUGAGCCUCUUGCCUCCCUGUGUCUCAACCCUAUCAGGAAAUAUCCAUGCUUUGUCCUAAGCUGGAGACCAAAGUUAAGGGGGACAGCCUGA
rnacentral:lncRNA from 12 species